rnacentral:rRNA from 1 species
UACGAGAGGCCCAAACGUUAUUCGGAAUCACUGGGCUUAAAGGGUGCGUAGGCGGCGCAGUAAGUUGGGUGUGAAAUCCCUCGGCUUAACCGAGGAAUUGCGCCCAAAACUACUGUGCUCGAGGGAGGUAGAGGUGAGCGGAACUUAGGGUGGAGCGGUGAAAUGCGUUGAUAUCCUAAGGAACACCGGUGGCGAAAGCGGCUCACUGGACCUCUUCUGACGCUGAGGCACGAAAGCUAGGGUAGCAAACGGG